GAACACGCGUAAACAUUAAGCCUAACUCACCCGUUACACAUUAAACAAAGUGAUCAGGAAAUUGGUUUAUGAUAAAAACAAAGACUACUACGCAGAUAUAGAAACGGAAUAGGGCUAAUCAAACUAGUUUUGCUGGUUAUCAGUGAGUGAACGCUGAAACAGAAGAAAACCAUUGUGAAGGAUGCUGCAGUUAACACCGUACGGCAUCAAACUCGCCGUGCACAUCAUCGAGACCGACUUCGGCAGUCGUGCCUCUGUAGUAUGUGAAUGUUUACUCAGAAAAGGAACCUUAACAGGGGAGAUGAUUUCUCGAUUCACCAAACUUGACAAUAAGAAAGUUAUGAAUUGUCUUUCAAAUUUAAUUCAACAUAACUGCGUCCAAGCCUUUACCCUUGACCAAGAAGGUUUUUUUUUGUUUUUUUUUUUAAAUUUUUUUAACUCCUUUUCAUUUUAUGUUUGAUGUUAAUAGUUUGAUGUUGUUUGAGUAUUAACUGAAAAUUAUAAUGUUGAUUUACGUAUGCUUUGUGUCUUUAGUAGUUAUGAUGAAGUAUUUACUAGUGUUGCUAAACUCAUUUUACUACUAGAUUUUGUAAAUGGUUAUUAUGUUAUUAUUGUUCUGUUAAACGGUUGGGAAAUUUGAUAGAAAUUCUCUUCUAAUUUAAUGUAAUUGGUCAUAAACAAUCUUAUAUGUCAUAUUGUUGAUAAUUUUAUUAGGGGCGAUUUUUCGGGUUUUCUGUUGAGUUGUUUUGAUGUUGAUUUGUUUGGUUUAUGUGGCCGUCCCCAUAUUGUUGAUAUUCAAGCUUUGAAGUUGUAAAUGGUGUUUUUGAAUUUCAUUCGACUCUAAUUUUCCUUGUGAAUGGUAAUCUUUUCAUUUUAUUUACUCUAGUUGAUGAAAUGGUGAGUAAUCAGUGAAUAAUAAUUAGUUUUUUCCAAAAGAUAUUCUUUUGCUUCUAGGGUAAGGAUGAUUCUUUAUAGGCAAUAGGGUAGGGAAAUGAUCUUUGUGUAGGUGGUAAAAUUUGAACCCUGAUCACGUGGUUGUAGAAAAACCUUCAAACCCUUCAACUAUUAGGAAUGAAAUGUUGUUUGGUAUACAUAUUUUAACCUACUUCUUAUUUUUCACUUCCUUUUUCAUUGUGUUGCCACGUUUUUUCCUUGAAUAGCCCAUUUUAUCCCCUCUUAAAAAGUUAUGAUUUUUCAAAAUCCACCAAACUCGACAAUUGCUCAACAUAUGUUAUUUAACCGCUACAACGAUAUUUCACCAUUGCAACGUUAUUUGUCUUCUCGUUAAAAUUUCAUAAAUACCCGUUAAAUUUAAUUAUUAAGAUCACGUAAACUAUAGUUACUCGUACUUUUAGUUAAAAAAAUAAUUAAUUGGUUUAUCAAUUCUCCAACAAAAGUACCUCAUAUACUACAAUCAUAGCUAUGGCCAUAUUAUUGCAUAAUAAUAGUAGUUCAACAAAAUUUGCAAGUAUAAGUUCAAAAAUUAUUAAUUAUCCACAUGCACUAGAUCUAGUUCCUAGACGACCCACAUUAUCAAAGUCAUGCAUCUAUCCUGAGUCCUCUAAACCUACCGUAUCGAUAACAACAAUAAUAAAUAUUGAAUGUAUAAUAACCUUGCUUUUGCUUGCAAGAUGCACGAGUAAAAUGAAAUGCAAUG